GAUCUUGUCUGAAAGCAGGAGGAAAAGAGGGUGGAACUCUGUAGUUCUGAAGACCUGAUGCCUUAAGAUCCACUCAUUGAGUGUGACUUAAAUCCAGUUGAAUCUUCACACACCCAUACUGUCGGUUGUCUGCUUAUGGGCUAUUUCGUGCUGUUUCUCGGCCUUUCCACUGUUCAUUUCACUAACCUCUAUUUGAAAUUCUUCCCCAAAGGCUGCCUGUUACAUAUCUAGGGAUAAUGGCAUGUGAAGUAUGUAUCUGCUGUGUGCGCUCAGUCGUGUCUGACACUUUGCAAUCCCAUGGACUGUAGCCCGCCAGGUUCCUCUGUCCAUGGGAUUUUCCAGGCAGGAAUACUGGAGUGGGGUGCCACUUCCUGCUCCAGGGGAGCUUCCCGACCCAGGGAUGGAACCCACACCUCUUAAGUCUCAGGUUGCGUCGGCAGGCGGAUUCUUUACCACUGGUGCCACCUGGGAAGCCCGGGUUGUGUGGAUAACCAUCAAAGAACAGUCAUUUCUGGAGCUCCCACUUCAUUCUGGGCAAAAAGCAAAAUUGCUCUGGAGAAAUUCCAUGAGCAAGGAGCCUGGAACUCCCUGAAAAGUCCCAAUGCCUGGCUUUGAAAAAGAUGGAUGCCUGCGUCGACAUUCUGCUUCACUUGGUUUCUGGUGUGGAGCAUGCUGACCAGCUGUCUGCUAUUUUUACUGAGGCCAGAGCUCAGGGGAAAUAUAUUUAAACCCAAAUGACAGUACAAGGUAUUCAGAUUUGUAUUAAAGAUGGAUUUCCUGGUAGUGUAGGUUGCCAGCCGCAGGAAUAAAGAACCGAGGGAGGAUUUUGGAAUCUUUCUGGGGGUGGCCAGAGUACUGCACCAUCAAAAAGCGAAGAAAGGAAAAGGAAGAAAUUGUCCUCUGGAGAAAAAAUGAAAGCAAUAAUUGAAAACCCUGGGAAGACGAAUCUAUUCACAGAGAAGACGUUGGCAAAAGAAAAUAGACCCCUUGGAAGGAAAACGGCUUGGUUGCUGUUUCACCUAAGAAGUGAGAUGAGAUAUGAAGCAAUGUUUUAUUUCACGUUACCUGAAACCUCUCAGAUAAAGUCUUCCCUAGCCCCUGGAACUGAAUAAGGAGACACAGACAAGCCUUUAUUACUGGCAGCAGAGAAUAAGAGCUACGUCUCACCACAUUUCAGCGACCUUGCUGUGUGAGUUGUUUCUUCCAGUUCUUUGGAGUGAUUUGACUGAACAGGUGCAAGUGGUCUGAAAGGUAGAGGAAGAGCAAGCCACCAGUGACACGGCGGUGAGGACUCUGUCCACAUCGUAUUUCCGUGUUUGUACUAUUCGUCAAAGACCACCCUCCACAGUUUAAACCAGAGACACUGAAAGAGACGUAAGAAAAAGAAGAUAGGAUAAAAUAGAAAUACAGCCCAAGUAUAUCCCCAGGUACUAAACAAGAGAGUAAAUAGUUAAUAAUACUGAGUUAUAUAUUGGAUUGGCCAAAACAUUUGUUCAGUUUUUCUGUAAGAUGGCUCUCAUGUUGCCUAGUCAUCUUUAACUUCAUUCAAAACAACUUUGUUAGAUUGUUUUGUGACAGCUGUCAUAUCGGCAUGCAUUAAAAAAAAAAAAUCAAAAUUGGUGAAUUUUGUGUAGCCACUUCAAUUUUCAAGAUGGAAGAGUAAAAGCAACAUUUGGGGUAUAGUAUGCUCUAUUAUUUCAAGAAAAGUAAAAACACAACUGAAACACCAAAAAAGAAAAGAUUUCUCCCGUGUAUGGCGAAGGUGCUGUGACUGAUUGAACAAAUUGAAACUGGUUUGCAAAGUUUCCUGCUGGAGAUUUCUCCCUGGACCAUGCUCCCUGGUCAGGUAGACAAGUUGAAGUUGAUAGCGAUCAAAUCAAGACAUUAAUUGAGAACAAUCAACAUUACACCAUUUGGGAGAUAGCCAACAUACUCAAAAUAUCCAAAUCAAGCAUCGAAAAUCAUUUCCACCAAGUUGGUAUGUUAAUCGCUUUGAUGUUUGGAUUCCACAUAAGUUAAGUGAAUAAAACCUUGAUUGUAUUUCCACAUGCAAUUCUUUACUUAAACAUGAGGGAAACCUUCCAUUUUUAAAACAAAUUGUGAUGGUCGAUGAAAAGUGGAGACUGUGCAAGCAAGUGGGAUGGAAGAGAUCAUGGAGCAAAUGAAACGAACCACCACUAACCAGAGGCCGGUCUUCAUCCAAAGAAGGUGACGUUGUGUGUAUGGUGGGAUUGGAAGGGGGUCCUCUAUUACGAGCUCCUUCCAGAAAAACAAAUGAUUAAUUUCCCAAAAUACUGCUCCCAAUUAGACGACUGAAAGCAGCAUUCGACGAAAGCGUCCUGAAGAAGCCGACAGAAAACGCAUCACCUCCUGUCGGGACGACACAAGGCUGCAGGUUUCUCUGACGACUGUGUAACUCGGCUGCGAAGCUCUGGUUCGUCCGCCUCGUUCACCAGACACUGCACCUUCGGAUGUCCUUUCCUUUCGGUCUCUACGACAUUCUCUUAAUGGAAACCAUUUCAACGCCCUGGAAGACAGUAAGAGGCACCUGAAGCAGUUCUUUGCUCAAAAAGAUAAAAUGUUUUGGGAAGGUGGAAGUAUGAAGUUGCCUGAGCAAUGGCAGAAUGUAAUGGAGCAAAACAGUGAAUGCAUGGUCCAAUAAAAUUCUCAAUGGAAAUGAAAAA